rnacentral:rRNA from 1 species
AGAUGCGACCGGCGCACGGGUGAGUAACACGCAUCCAACCUGCCGAUAACUCCGGAAUAGCCUUUCGAAAGAAAGAUUAAUACCGGAUGGCAUACGAAUAUCGCAUGAUAUUUUAUUAAAGAAUUUCGGUUAUCGAUGGGGAUGCGUUCCAUUAGUUUGUUGGCGGGGUAACGGCCCACCAAGACUACGAUGGAUAGGGGUUCUGAGAGGAAGGUCCCCCACAUUGGAACUGAGGCACGGUCCAA